ACUGGGUAUCGGCUCUAAACGGAAUCACGAGGAGCACAAAUUCGUAUCUGUUAGAAAUCAACUCUAUCCUCGUUUCACCACCUAAGCCAAGUAAUCGACGCAUCAGUCAUUUUACUAGACGCAGAUGUAGAUUGCAAAUCUGUCGAAUCGGUGGAUGCCUUUUCUACGCGGUAUGUUGGUACGGCCUGGGUGCAACAUCAUUGGUAGUCAGUGGGGGUUUAGUGGAUACGUAAGAAAACCCCCAUUUCACAAUCAAUUUGACUCUCGUGUCACAACUGAAACAAAGUUAUUCGACAAUCCGGUUAUUGGACUUGACACCGAAUGUAAGCCAUUCACUGGUCGACGACAGGAAGUCUCCAUUGCAUACUCGAACAAAUAACGUAAAACUGUAUGUAGUGAACUCGAUCCCCGUACCAUCAAACAGACCAAAGGUAUUUGACGAUCCAGUAGUUCGUUACUGUUAUCGUUGCAAAGAAGAGUGUACACAUGCAACGCAGGCGAGAGUCGUAUAACAUUUCAAACAGCACGAUGGUGGACGUUGUUGGUAUUAUGCAGCGGACCAAGUUCGACUUCCGUAUAUGUACCAGCAACCAUCUUCCAGUGAAACGAUAAGCACGGUCGGACGAGAUCCAUUGCCGGUUCGGAAGGUCACGCUUAAUCUAAUCCUGUGCUUUCUGCAGCAAAAAUUACAGCAAAAGACAGUUCCGUAAAAUGGAGAAGAAAAAACAAAUCCCUGCAGCAGAAUUGACAAAGUUUACCAGAAAGCAACAAUUACCACAAAAUAUUGAUGCGUCGCAGUAUCAAUUGACCAGAUUCGCCAAUUCAUACGAAUCCGCUUCCGUACGGCAAAUAUACAAUGACUUACAUCGAUUUUGAAGAUUGGUCUCAAUAUGCACACCGGAGCAGCAGUAUUCGUAGUGUGCCGCUGAUGAACCUGAAUUCGACUGCGUCACUCGGCUUCUUCCGAAUGCUGAUAAACCUACAAUAUGAUAUUAAACAUCAAGACGGAGGUAUCAUCUCUAAACGAAUUCUUCCACUGGAUGGAAGGAAAACGCUGCGAAGACGAAUGGUCAUCGAGACACUAAAAAGGUAUCAGUUGGACCGGUUUUCUGCAAUGGUCAAAUCGUUUGCCAACGGCUUCCAGCUGGCCGAAGGAAAAGUGAUCCACGACUUUCAAAUAUUUCUCGGUCCGAUGGCUGAUCCAGUUGUUGCUGGACUAGAGAGCAACGCGGUCUAUUUGACCCGAUUGGUGCAACGACCAGUGACACAAUAUCCGCAACCCCAGAAUAUUGCUGCUGAGAUCAAUUUGGCCUGACAAGGAUGAGCGAUCAGCAUACUACAUAAUAACGUCUCGUUUGUUCUCGGGAAGUGUAUCAUUAUUUAAA